GAUAACUGGCUUGUGGUGGCCAAGACUGCAUAGCGACGUCACUUUUUGAUCCUUCAAUGCCGGCUCUUUCCUAUCAUCAUGAAGCAGAAUUCACCAAGCAUUGGAUUGUUCACCCACUAACAGGGAACAUGAGAUGGGUUUAGACUGGCACGAGACAGGUU
rnacentral:ncRNA from 1 species